rnacentral:ncRNA from 1 species
GUACAUAAAUCACGUAUAAUGCAAAAAAUGCAUAUCAGAAUACUUAUAAAGUAUAAUGUAUGAAAAUAGAAUAGAUAAAAGUGAAGAGCUCUGCUCUUGCAAUUGGCUGUCGUCAGCUCGUGCCGUAAGGUGUUGGGUUAAGUCCCACAACAAGCGCAACCCUCGUGUUUAGUUGCCACCGUUGAGUUUGGAACUCUGAGCAGACUGCCAGUGAUAAGCUGAAAGAAGGUGAGAAUGACUCAAGUCAUCAUGUCCCUUAUGCCCUGGGCGACACACGUGCUACAAUGGCCGGGACAAAGGGUCGUGAUCCCGUGAAGGUGAGCUAACUCCAAAAACCCGUCCUCGGUUCGGAUUGCAGGCUGCAACUCGCCUACAUGAAGCCGAAAUCGCUAGUAAUCGUCAGUCAACCAUACGACAAUGAAUUCGUUCCC